rnacentral:rRNA from 1 species
UACGGAGGAUGCGAGCGUUAUCCGGAUUUAUUGGGUUUAAAGGGUGCGUAGGCUGUCGGAUAAGUUAGAGGUCAAAUGUCGGGGCUUAACCCCGUGCCUGCCUCUGAUACUGUUCGACUGGAGAGCGGAUGCAGCAGGCGGAAUGAGUAGUGUAGCGGUGAAAUGCAUAGAUAUCACGAAGAACUCCGAUUGCGAAGGCAGCUUACCAGUCUGCGACUGACGCUCAGGCACGAAAGUGUGGGUAUCGAACAGG